AGCAUCUGUUAGCAAGGGCCGGGCAAGACCGGUGCCAGCCGCCGCGGUAACACCGGCGGCCCGAGUGGUAACCGCUAUUAUUGGGUCUAAAGGGUCUGUAGCCGGCCAGGUAAGUCCCUUGGGAAAUCUGGCAGCUCAACUGUCAGGCUGCUAGGGGAUACUGUUUGGCUUGGGACCGGGAGAGGUGAGAGGUACCUUGGGGGUAGGGGUGAAAUCUUGUGAUCCCCGGGGGACCACCAGUGGCGAAGGCGUCUCACCAGAACGGGUCCGACGGUAAGGGACGAAAGCUAGGGGCACGAACCGGAUUAGAUACCCGGGUAGUCCUAGCCGUAAACGAUGCUCGCUAGGUGUCAGUCACGGUGCGACCGUGAUUGGUGCCGUAGGGAAGCCGUGAAGCGAGCCACCUGGGAAGUAUGGCCGCAAGGCUGAAACUUAAAGGAAUUGGCGGGGGAGCAC
rnacentral:rRNA from 1 species